CUGUAGUUCCCCCGGUACACUGAGCUUUUCACCGAGCACGUAUCGGACAAGGGCACCCGGGACCCGGUCCUCUCCUUUCACAAAAAGGGAACUUUCUAUGGUUGACCUCGGAUCAGGUAGGAAUACGCGCUGAACUUAAGCAUAUCAAUAAGCGCAGGAAAAGAAACCAACAGGGAUUACCUCAGUAACGGCGAGUGAAGCGGUAAUAGCUCAAAUUUGAAAUCUGGCCUCUUGGGGUCCGAGUUGUAAUUUGUAGAGGAUGUUUUGGGUACCGCCCCGGUCUAAAUUUCUUGGAACAGAAUGUCAAAGAGGGUGAGAAUCCCGUCUUGGACCGGCGGUAGGGCCUGUGUAAAACUCCUUCGACGAGUCGAGUUGUUUGGGAAUGCAGCUCAAAAUGGGUGGUAAAUUUCAUCUAAAGCUAAAUAUUGGCCAGAGACCGAUAGCGCACAAGUAGAGUGAUCGAAAGAUGAAAAGCACUUUGAAAAGAGAGUUAAACAGUAUGUGAAAUUGUUGAAAGGGAAGCGCUUGCAACCAGACUUGAGCGCGGCGGUUCCCCCGGUCUUUUGGCCGGGCUACUCCGUCGUGUCCAGGCCAACAUCGGUUCUGAGGGUCGGUCAAAGGCCUUGGGAAUGUAUCUACCCACGGGUAGACUUAUAGACCAGGGUGUCAUGCGGCCCCUCGGGACCGAGGAACGCGCUUCGGCUCGGAUGUUGGCGUAAUG
rnacentral:rRNA from 1 species